AUACCUUUCUCGGCCUUUUGGCUAAGAUCAAGUGUAGUAUCUGUUCUUAUCAGUUUAAUAUCUGAUACGUGGACCAUCGGUCCACAUGAUAUUAAAUUAAUUUUUUUAGGGAGAGGGUUCACCACAAUAGCUUGCUAUUGGAACUCUUGCGCGUCGCCCAUGCGUUGCACUACUGCACGGGCCUGGCGCAUCCCUC
rfam:Vitis vinifera, whole genome shotgun sequence of line PN40024, unoriented chromosome 19, chr19